rnacentral:tRNA from 1 species
GCCUCGAUGGCUCAGUUGGUUAGAGCGCAGGUCUCAUAGUCAUUAUGAGGGUUAAACAUCAAUCCGCAAUCCUGAGGUCGCAAGUUCGAUCCUUGCUCGGGGCA